rnacentral:tRNA from 1 species
GGGAAUGUGGCUCAGUGGUAGAGUGCUUGCCUAGCAUGCAAGAAGCCCUGGGUUUGAUUCCUCAGUAUCA